rnacentral:tRNA from 1 species
GCCGCUAUCGUCUAACGGUUAGGACAACAGGUUUUCAACCUGUAAACCGGGGUUCGAUUCCCCGUAGCGGUA